rnacentral:rRNA from 1 species
UACGGAAGGCAGCAGUGGGGAAUAUUGCACAAUGGGCGCAAGCCUGAUGCAGCCAUGCCGCGUGCAUGAAGAAGGCCUUCGGGUUGUAAAGUACUUUCAGUCGUGAGGAAGGUGUUAAGGUUAAUAACCUUAGCAAUUGACGUUAGCGACAGAAGAAGCACCGGCUAACUCCGUGCCAGCAGCCGCGGUAAUACGGAGGGUGCGAGCGUUAAUCGGAAUUACUGGGCGUAAAGGGCACGCAGGCGGUUAAUAAGUUGGAUGUGAAAUCCCCGGGCUUAACCUGGGAAUGGCAUUCAAGACUGGUUAGCUAGAGUCUUGUAGAGGGGGUUAGAAUUCCAUGUGUAGCGGUGAAAUGCGUAGAGAUGUGGAGGAAUACCGGGUGGCGAAGGCGGGCCCCUGGGACAAAGACUGACGCUCAUGUGCGAAAGCGUGGGGAGCAAACAGGGAUUAGGAUACC